rnacentral:tRNA from 1 species
GCCUCCGUGGCAAGUGGAAGCCGCUCGGCCUUCGAAGCCGGGCUUUGUGGGUUCGAAUCCUACCGGGGGUGCCA